GACGAACGCUGGCGGCGUGCUUAACACAUGCAAGUCGAACGGAAAGGCCCUGCUUUUGUGGGGUGCUCGAGUGGCGAACGGGUGAGUAACACGUGAGUAACCUGCCCUUGACUUUGGGAUAACUUCAGGAAACUGGGGCUAAUACCGGAUAGGAGCUCCUGCUGCAUGGUGGGGGUUGGAAAGCUUCGGCGGUUGGGGAUGGACUCGCGGCUUAUCAGCUUGUUGGUGGGGUAGUGGCUUACCAAGGCUUUGACGGGUAGCCGGCCUGAGAGGGUGACCGGCCACAUUGGGACUGAGAUACGGCCCAGACUCCUACGGGAGGCAGCAGUGGGGAAUAUUGCACAAUGGGCGGAAGCCUGAUGCAGCAACGCCGCGUGCGGGAUGACGGCCUUCGGGUUGUAAACCGCUUUCGCCUGUGACGAAGCGUGAGUAACGGUAAUGGGUAAAGAAGCACCGGCUAACUACGUGCCAGCAGCCGCGGUGAUACGUAGGGUGCGAGCGUUGUCCGGAUUUAUUGGGCGUAAAGGGCUCGUAGGUGGUUGAUCGCGUCGGAAGUGUAAUCUUGGGGCUUAACCCUGAGCGUGCUUUCGAUACGGGUUGACUUGAGGAAGGUAGGGGAGAAUGGAAUUCCUGGUGGAGCGGUGGAAUGCGCAGAUAUCAGGAGGGACACCAGUGGCGAAGGCGGUUCUCUGGGCCUUUCCUGACGCUGAGGAGCGAAAGCGUGGGGAGCGAACAGGCUUAGAUACCCUGGUAGUCCACGCUGUAAACGGUGGGUACUAGGUGUGGGGUCCAUUCCACGGGUUCCGUGCCGUAGCUAACGCUUUAAGUACCCCGCCUGGGGAGUACGGCCGCAAGGCUAAAACUCAAAGGAAUUGACGGGGCCCCGCACAAGCGGCGGAGCAUGCGGAUUAAUUCGAUGCAACGCGUAGAACCUUACCUGGGUUUGACAUGGAUCGGGAGCGCUCAGAGAUGGGUGUGCCUCUUUUGGGGUCGGUUCACAGGUGGUGCAUGGCUGUCGUCAGCUCGUGUCGUGAGAUGUUGGGUUAAGUCCCGCGACGAGCGCAACCCUUGUUCACUGUUGCCAGCACGUUAUGGUGGGGACUCAGUGGAGACCGCCGGGGUCAACUCGGAGGAAGGUGGGGAUGACGUCAAGUCAUCAUGCCCCUUAUGUCCAGGGCUUCACGCAUGCUACAAUGGCUGGUACAGAGAGUGGCGAGCCUGUGAGGGUGAGCGAAUCUCGGAAAGCCGGUCUCAGUUCGGAUUGGGGUCUGCAACUCGACCUCAUGAAGUCGGAGUCGCUAGUAAUCGCAGAUCAGCAACGCUGCGGUGAAUACGUUCCCGGG
rnacentral:rRNA from 1 species